UUGAAGAGAGAGUUCAAAGGACGUGAAACCGUAUGGUGAAUAAACGAUCUGUAGGCUCUAUUGGCGUUGAUUCAGCACUGCUUCUGCAGUGUGCAUUUCUGCGCCAGUUCUGACGGGAUAUCCGACGCAUGAAAGCUUCAGGGGCGGACUGUGUAUGCAGUGACCUACUGGGGCUGAAUUGUAUCGGUGUCUUUGCUAGCUUUGUGUGCGUAGAAGUCACGCUAAGAUGCUUUCCAGGGGCUGCUCCGGCAGUGUUUGGCUAGCUUCUUAUGUUUGUCCUCGCUGACUAGGCUUCAGAAUAUGAGCUGUGCAGAUCGACCCGUCUUGAAACACGGACCAAGGAGUCUAAAUUGUGCGCAAGCCAUUGGAUGUUAAAUCCACAGGCGAAACGAAAGUAAUUCGUGGGAUGUUUUCCGCACCUCGAUCGUGUGCAACGCUUGCGUUGUGCCCAGAACGAGUGCACAGAUUAGUACCCGAAAGAUGGUGAACUAUGCUUGAGCAGGAUGAAGCCAGAGGAAACUCUGGUGGAAGUCCGAAGCGGUUCUGACGUGCAAAUCGAUCGUCAGACUUGAGUAUAGGGGCGAAAGACUAAUCGAACCAUC
rnacentral:rRNA from 1 species